UACGUAGGUGGCAAGCGUUAUCCGGAAUUACUGGGUGUAAAGGGAGCGCAGGCGGGGUAGCAAGUCAGCGGUGAAAAUUAUGGGCUUAACCCAUAAACUGCCGUUGAAACUGUUACUCUUGAGUGGAGUAGAGGCAGGCGGAAUUCCGAGUGUAGCGGUGAAAUGCGUAGAUAUUCGGAGGAACACCAGUGGCGAAGGCGGCCUGCUGGGCUCUAACUGACGCUGAGGCUCGAAAGUGUGGGGAG
rnacentral:rRNA from 1 species